rnacentral:tRNA from 1 species
ACCUGGCUGGCUCAGUCAGUAGAGCACAUGACUCUUGAUCUUGGGGCUGUAAGUUCGAGACCCACAUUGGGUA